UGCAAGUCGAACGAGACUUUUCGUUGUAGCAAUACGAUGGAAAGUUUAGUGGCGAACGGGUGCUUAACACGUGGGCAACCUGCCAUGAAGUGGGGGAUAGCUCGCCGAAAGGCGAAUUAAUACCGCAUGUGAUUAGAGAGGACAUCCUUUCGAAAUUAAAGUCGGGGCAACCUGACGCUUCUUGUGGGGCCCGCGGCCUAUCAGCUAGUUGGUGAGGUAACGGCUCACCAAGGCUUUGACGGGUAGCUGGUCUGAGAGGACGACCAGCCACACUGGGACUGAGACACGGCCCAGACACCUACGGGUGGCAGCAGUCGAGAAUUUUUGACAAUGGGGGAAACCCUGAUCGAGCGACGCCGCGUGGAGGAUGAAGGUCUUCGGAUUGUAAACUCCUGUCAUUGGGGAACAAGGUGCAUACGUUAACUGCGUGUGUAUUGAUAGUACCCGAAGAGGAAGAGACGGCUAACUCUGUGCCAGCAGCCGCGGUAAUACAGAGGUCUCAAGCGUUGUUCGGAUUCAUUGGGCGUAAAGGGUGCGUAGGCGGCGCGGUAAGUCGGGUGUGAAAUCUCGGAGCUUAACUCCGAAACUGCAUUCGAUACUGCCGUGCUUGAGGACUGGAGAGGAGACUGGAAUUUACGGUGUAGCGGUGAAAUGCGUAGAUAUCGUAAGGAAGACCAGUGGCGAAGGCGGGUCUCUGGACAGUUCCUGACGCUG
rnacentral:rRNA from 1 species